rnacentral:lncRNA from 1 species
AAGUUUUUUAUUAUAUUUUAGUAAUUAUAAGAUCUUGUAAGUUUUAUAAAUUACCAAUUUUAUUAUUUAUUUUUUUAAAGAAAGAUGAUUUAAAAUGCCAGUGUAAGCAGGCUUCUAUUUGUGUGGAACAUGCUGUAAUCCCAGUCCUUGGGAGGCUGAGGCAGGACGAUCUUUGUACGCUGGAGAAUAUCACAAAAAAGUUCUCAGAAAACAAACAGAAAAAGUUGUAUUACCAACUUCACGUUAGUGUGAAAAAUAAGCCAACUGUGGAGGUUUGUUUAGAGAGUCUGGAGGGAUGGCUCAGUGGUUAAAAGCAUCUGUCUCCGCUGCAGGGGAUCUAAGUUUGGGUCCCAGCACCACGCAGUGUCUUACAGCUACCCUUAAGCCCUGUUCUGCAGGCUCUUGCAAUUUAAUUAACAUACUGAAAUUAACUAGCAGGAUUACCAACUAAUGUGUACCUCUAAACAGUUCCCUUAAAAAAAAAAAAUGCCCGCCAGGUGUAGGUGUGGUGGCGCACGCCUUUAAUCACAGCACUCGGGAGGCAGAGGCAGGUGAGUUUUUGAGUUCGAGGCCAGCCUGGUCUACAGAGUGAGUUCCAGGAUCAGCCAGGGCUACACAGAGAAACCCUGUCUCAAAAAACCAAAAAAGAAAAAAAGAAAAGAAAGGAAAAGAAAAAAAAAAUGCCCAACAAAUUAUUAGACCAAACCAUGGCCAGAAACCAAAUGCCUUCAGGGAUCUAAAGCAAAUAAAACAAACUGAAAGGCCAGGAACCUGGCACACGUGCACACACACACACACACACACACACACACAAACACACACACACGAUCUUAUACACUCGCACCCCUGGGUAUCAAAGGGGACCCUAAGAAUCGGCUCAGAAUAAACAGAGUGAUGACCAUGCAAGAGGGGAGACCCCGGCCUAGCAGGACUCCUCAGCGCCCUCCAGAGGAGGCAGUUCUACCGUGUGUCCUUUUUAGCGCUGGGACUAUGGUCCGUAGGCUCCACCACUGCCCAGC